rnacentral:rRNA from 1 species
UACGGAGGGUGCGAGCGUUGUCCGGAAUCACUGGGCGUAAAGGGCGCGUAGGCGGCGCGAGUAGUCAACGGUGAAAGCCCGGGGCUCAACCCCGGGUCGGCCGUCGAUACUCUCGUGCUUGAGCACUGUAGAGGCAGGUGGAAUUCCGGGUGUAGCGGUGGAAUGCGUAGAGAUCCGGAAGAACACCGGUGGCGAAGGCGGCCCGCUGGGCUGUUGCUGACGCUGAGGCGCGACAGCGUGGGGAGCAAACAGG